CUGAACGGCUGGACUUGAGGGCUUCCGGUUUCCGGAUCUUUCUAUCCAGGAUGAUGAAAAGACUACAAUGCCCUUCAUAAAAAAAUAAUUUACCUAACAUAUCCAUUAAACAGAACCUUAGAUCAGAUCACGUCAUCACAGAUCACACAACAGGUGGGCUCCACAGCUGAUGUGGCCUAAUCAAAUAGGCCACGUUUUACUGCCCUUUCCGUUAACUGAAAAAAUAGUUUUUUUUACUAUUUUUAUUUUUAUUUAUCCGUCAAAUCCCUCCGCUUCGCUUGAAAAGAAGUUAGAAGAUCUCAUAAAGCGGGAGGGAGAGCGAGUGCGCGAGAGAGAAGAGAGACAGAGAAAUCGGAUCAUAGCCGUUGAUCUGGUUUUGGCACGUCGAAUCUCAGCCAUCCGUAUCAUCAUCAACGGCGUGUUGCUCCCUUCGCGGCUGAUGCCGUUCUAUUCUUGAUCUCCGGUGAGUUUUCUGAUCAAUUUGGCAUCUGAAUCCGCGUUGCUUUGCUUAUUUUCUGCUUGCUUCCUGGAUGAAAUUGGAAAUUUAAAAAAAGAAAAGGAAGAAAGGAAUUUGAAUCGAUUGAAUUUGAUCGUGUAAAACGGUUAUAGACGUCUUCUGUUUUGAUCUGAUCUUAUUGUUUAAUAGUGAGUUAAUGUCUACAGAGGUCGGAUAAUGAUUGAAUUGCAAUAAGUUCGUCGGAGAAGAUAACCAAUUCUUGCGAUUUUUCUGUUUGUUUUUCUUUCCUUUGGUUGCUUUUGCUGUUCCUGUCGACGUCGCUGUUUUUUGAUAAUGAUGAUGAUCUGCCGGUUUUCAGAGUAUGGAGGGGCAAAGAGUGCGAGGAGAAUUCAUUUGAACUGUGCCUGACCAAUGUGGUUUUGUUAAUUUGUGAGAAGAAACUAACCGAUAAUGCGAGAAUCUAAUCUGAAAUUGAAUAUUAUAUACAUACAUGCAUAUAUUAUGUGUUUGUGUGUCUAUAUAUAUAUAUAUAAAACAUACACCCAUAUGCGCGCGCGCGCGCGCAUGGGUAUAUUUAUAUGCAUAUUAUGCUAAUCUUGGACGCUAUAUCCAAGUUCGUUGGUGAUUCAUCUGAAAAUUUCUUUUUGAAGACCAAAAAGUUCUUCUGAGAGACUGAUGAACCUUUAUUUUUUACUAUUUUUUAUAUGCUGCAAUUGUUUUAUCAGAUGAUUUUUUUUCUUAGUCCUCAUUAAGAGAUAAGGUAAUCUAUUUUUUCACUGAGAUAUAUCCUUGAUGUUUUUAUUUAUUAACGUAAGCAACUGGAUUUAGCAGUCUACUACUGUGCAUUUGUUGCCUUUUUAAUGGGGAGAUUAUGAGUUUAACCCUUCAAACAAUGAAGGAUACCUCAUUCUGAAGCCUGCAUCCGCCCCUUCGUGACAAUGAAAAGUAGCAAACCAAUUUUACGAGCUAUUCUCUCUCUACAGGAAAACUAAUUUGCGUGUAAAUAUUUCUAAUUUGUUCCCAAAUUCAUUCAUAAGAAAACAAAAAUUUAGAUCAGACAGGUGCCUGUAUUAAAGUAAAAGAUAAAUUUAAUAAUAGUUGGUAAAUUUAUAAAUCUUCUACAAGUGCUUCUUGUAUAGAAGUUUUCUCUAAUUUAAUUGAAGCUUGCUUUAUAUUACUUUUACGCAACGAGUUGUUAGGAACCUUGCUCACUUGUUCUUCACUGUAACAUACUAGAGAAAGAAAAGAAGAAAAGGAGAGUAGAGAGGGAAAGAGAUAGUAGAGUGAGAAAGAGAGAGAGGGAGAUUUGAAUUAGUAGUUUGAAUUUGAUAUUUUUCUGAUUAUUCAUUUCUCCCCCAAUUAACUAUAUAUUUAUGGUAAUCAGGAGGUGCACCCCUCAGUUCCAACAGAAAACUAGCAAGAAACAAUGCUGAAACCAAUUUAACUGCAAUACAAAAUUUCUCUCUUCCACUUAUACUUAUUUUACCAUUUUAUCUUCUUCCUUCGGGACAUUGUCAGCAGCUUCCUUAGAAUACUCUCUCCUUGAAUGGAAACCUUGUCCUCAAGGUCGUGAGUUGGAAAUUGCUAACUGAUAUACUCAUAGUCUUUCCAAGUGUAAUUGUCCCAUACAAUCCCAGCCUAGAGAACAAGGACCUGUUCCACUUCUUGACUAUUACGAAGAAUGGCCCUAUGUUGCAAAAUACUCUCGGGUUGGAAACUGAGUAUGGCAUCCCAGCUGCUUGUUGGUAGCUUGUCCACCCUAACUUUGCUGCAAGCAGUGUACUUUUUCAACAGGGACACAUGGAAGACUGGAUGGAUAUGCAAGGAGGGUGGUAGUUUGAGCUGGUCCACCACUGGUCCCACUCCCUGCAUGACUUUAAAAGAACCAUAGAAUCUUGGAGUGAGUUUGUAAUUAUCUCCCAACCUCACAAAUCCUUGCCUGAAAGAUUAUAGCACAAGGUCGAGUUCCUCAAAACUCCUCUAAUUGUGAUGGGUUUCUGCAUAUUGCUUGGUACAAGACUUUGCUUGUAGCAAAUGCUGUUUAAUUACCCAAACUUCACAUCUUUCUGUUAUAAAUUCUUCGAUCAAUUGUGAGAGUGAGUGUGGAUCUACAAUAUCCAAG
rnacentral:lncRNA from 1 species